AUUGAACGCUGGCGGCAGGCUUAACACAUGCAAGUCGAGCGAGCGGCGGACGGGUGAGUAAUGUCUGGGAAACUGCCUGAUGGAGGGGGAUAACUACUGGAAACGGUAGCUCAUACCGCAUACCAUCAGAUGUGCCCCGAUGGGAUUAGCUAGUAGGGGGGGUAAUGGCUCACCUAGGCGACGCUCCCGAGCUGGGCUGAGAGGAUGACCAGCCACAUUGGAACUUAGACACGGUCCAGACUCAUACGGGAGGCAGCAUUGGGUAAUAUUGCACAAUGGGCGCAAGCCUGAUGCAGCCAUGCCGCGUGUGUGAAGAAGUCCUUCGGGUUGUAAAGCACUUUCAGCGAGGAGGCGUUACUCGCAGAAGAAGCACCGGCUAACUCCGUGCCAGCAGCCGCGGUAAUAC
rnacentral:rRNA from 1 species